AUGUCGUGAUGUGGACACUUUCGUAGCAAAUCGUUCAAACGCUCCCAUGCUUCAUGUAAAGGUUCUCCCUCAUUUUGGGAGAAUUCACGGAUAGAAGCUCUCAUAACAU